rnacentral:rRNA from 1 species
ACGGAGGAUGCGAGCGUUAUCCGGAUUUAUUGGGUUUAAAGGGAGCGCAGACGGGAUGUUAAGUCAGCUGUGAAAGUUUGCGGCUCAACCGUAAAAUUGCAGUUGAUACUGGCGUUCUUGAGUGCAGUUGAGGUGUGCGGAAUUCGUGGUGUAGCGGUGAAAUGCUUAGAUAUCACGAAGAACUCCGAUUGCGAAGGCAGCUCACUAAACUGUAACUGACGUUCAUGCUCGAAAGUGUGGGUAUCAAACAG